GACGAACGCUGGCGGCGUGCUUAACACAUGCAAGUCGAACGAAGUGGCGAACGGGUGAGUAACGCGUAAUCAACCUGCCCUUAAGAGGGGGACAACAGUUGGAAACGACUGCUAAAACCGCAUACGGAAGGACGGGAUUGCGUCUGAUUCGCUCGUGUGCGUGGUAACGGCCUACCAAGGCGAUGAUCAGUAGCCGGUCUGAGAGGAUGAACGGCCACAUUGGGACUGGGACACGGCCCAGACUCCUACGGGAGGCAGCCGUGGGGAAUCGUGCGCAAUGGAGGAAAGUCUGACGGAGCAACGCCGCGGGAGUGAUGACGGCCUUCGGGUUGUAAAGCUCGGUUAAUCGGGACGCGGUACCGGAAUAGAAAGCCACGGCUAACUACGUGCCAGCAGCCGCGGUAAUUC
rnacentral:rRNA from 1 species